rnacentral:tRNA from 4 species
GCCCGGAUGGUGGAAUGCAGACACGACGAGCUUAAACCUCGUUGGCCUACAGGCCGUGCCGGUUCGAAUCCGGCUCCGGGCA